rnacentral:rRNA from 1 species
GCAAGUCGAGGGGUAACAUUGUAGCUUGCUACAGAUGACGACCGGCGCACGGGUGCGUAACUCGUAUACAAUCUGCCUUGUACUUAGGAAUAGCUCAGCGAAAUUUGGAUUAAUGCCUCAUGGUAUAUGGUUCUGGCAUCAGGACUAUAUUAAAGGUUACGGUACAAGAUGAGUAUGCGUCCUAUUAGCUAGAUGGUGUGGUAACGGCAUACCAUGGCGACGAUAGGUAGGGGCCCUGAGAGGGGGAUC